rnacentral:rRNA from 1 species
GCUACGUGCUGUGCAACAGCGUCGGGAAGAGCGAGGGGUCGUGCGUUGGACGAAAUUAUUGGGCGGAAAGGUCUUGGAGGGGGUUUGUCGAGGUUGCGGUGAAAAGCCGGGGCUCAACCCCGGACUGGCAGUGGGGGCGGGCAGACUAGAGUGUGGUAGGGGAGACUGGAAUUCCUGGUGUAGCGGUGAAAUGCGCAGAUAUCAGGAGGAACACCGAUGGCGAAGGCAGGUCUCUGGGCCACUACUGACGCUGAGAAGCGAAAGCGUGGGGAGCGAACAGGAUUAGAUACCCCAGUAGUC